AGAAACUUAGGAUAACCAAACCGAAGGCCUUCAAAGCCUUAGACAAGAGCUAGCCCCCUCUUAGUUUCUG
rnacentral:tRNA from 1 species